AUUGAACGCUGGCGGUAUGCUUAACACAUGCAAGUCGAACGGUAACAGAACUAGCUUGCUAGUUGCUGACGAGUGGCGGACGGGUGAGUAACGCGUAGGAAUCUACCCAGUUGCGGGGAUAGCCCAGGGAAACUUGGAUUAAUACCUCAUGGUAUUAUUGAUAGGCAUCUAUUAAUAAUUAAAGGUUACGGCAAAAGAUGAGUAUGCGUCCCAUUAGCUAGUUGGUGAAGUAACGGUUCACCAAGGCAACGAUGGGUAGGGGUCCUGAGAGGGAGAUCCCCCACACUGGUACUGAGACACGGACCAG
rnacentral:rRNA from 1 species